CCUCAACAGUAUUUUUGUAAGCUCUUCUCUCUGCCUAAGUCCUCCAGACCCCUGUCUGAAGAUAUUACAGUCUCAUAUUGUAUUAUAGUCUGCGCAGAUUAUAAUCUCCAAACUCAAGUCACUUUUAAAGUGUGAAGCAUUUUAUUUGCGAUCAUAUUCAGCCACACUGCUCUGUCUGCAAGGCUGUUUAAUACUAAUGGCACAUUAACAAACCACCGAGGCCAGAUCAGAAUUCUCUCCUGGUAAGUGUAUUAUCAUAUUAUUUCAUUCAGUCAAAACUACAUCAUGAUAUUUUGUGGUGCAAGAAGAUUAAACUUGAAUCAAAUAUAAAAUAAAAUGCAUUUUCUGACUAGAAA